GAUGAACGCUGGCGGCGUGCCUAAUACAUGCAAGUCGAGCGAACGGACGAGAAGCUUGCUUCUCUGAUGUUAACGGCGGACGGGUGAGUAACACGUGGAUAACCUACCUAUAAGACUGGGAUAACUUCGGGAAACCGGAGCUAAUACCGGAUGAUAUUUUGAACCGCAUGGUUCAAAAGUGAAAGACGGUCUUGCUGUCACUUAUAGAUGGAUCCGCGCUGCAUUAGCUAGUUGGUAAGGUAACGGCUUACCAAGGCAACGAUGCAUAGCCGACCUGAGAGGGUGAUCGGCCACACUGGAACUGAGACACGGUCCAGACUCCUACGGGAGGCAGCAGUAGGGAAUCUUCCGCAGUGGGCGAAAGCCUGACGGAGCAACGCCGCGUGAGUGAUGAAGGUCUUCGGAUCGUAAAACUCUGUUAUUAGGGAAGAACAUAUGUGUAAGUAACUGUGCACAUCUUGACGGUACCGAAUCAGAAAGCCACGGCUAACUACGUG
rnacentral:rRNA from 1 species